rnacentral:rRNA from 1 species
GACGAACGCUGGCGGCGUGCUUAACACAUGCAAGUCGAACGGAAAGGCCCUGCUUUUGUGGGGUGCUCGAGUGGCGAACGGGUGAGUAACACGUGAGUAACCUGCCCUUGACUUUGGGAUAACUUCAGGAAACUGGGGCUAAUACCGGAUAGGAGCUCCUGCUGCAUGGUGGGGGUUGGAAAGUUUCGGCGGUUGGGGAUGGACUCGCGGCUUAUCAGCUUGUUGGUGGGGUAGUGGCUUACCAAGGCUUUGACGGGUAGCCGGCCUGGGAGGGUGACCGGGCACAAUGGUACUGAGGGACGGCCCAGACGCCUACGGGAGGCAGCAGUGGAGAAUAUUGCACAGUGGGCGGAAGCCUGAUGCAGCGACGCCGCGUGCGGGAUGACGGCCUUCGGGGUGUAAACCGCUUUAGCCUGUGACGAAGCGGGAGUGACGGUAAUGGGUAAAGAAGCACCGGCUAACUACGUG